GCCCCUGUGGCGGAACUGGUAGACGCGAUAGACUCAAAAUCUAUUGCCUUCGCGGGUGUGGGAGUUCGAGUCUCCCCGGGGGCACCA
rnacentral:tRNA from 1 species